UACGUAGGGCGCAAGCGUUGUCCGGAAUUAUUGGGCGUAAAGAGCUCGUAGGCGGUUUGUCGCGUCUGCUGUGAAAACCCGAGGCUCAACCUCGGGCCUGCAGUGGGUACGGGGCGAGACUAGAGUGCGGUAGGGGAGAUUGGAAUUCCUGGUGUAGCGGUGGAAUGCGCAGAUAUCAGGAGGAACACCGAUGGCGAAGGCAGAUCUCUGGGCCGUAACUGACGCUGAGGAGCGAAAAGCGUGGGGAGCGAACAGG
rnacentral:rRNA from 1 species